rnacentral:snRNA from 1 species
AAAUGUGAGCGUGAUCUGGCUGUGACAUCUGUCAUGCCAUUGAUCGCCAGGGUUGAUUCGGCUGAUCUGGCUGACUAGGCGGAUGUCCCCUUCCUCCCUCACCCUCCAUGUGCGUCCCUCCCGAAGCUGUGCGCUGGGUCGAAGAGGAUGACCUUCCCCAAAUAGAGUUGGACUGGUCUUCAGUGGAGGGUAUAUAGUAGCUGAGCUCCCCUGCUAAAACCUCCAAACAAAAUUUAUCUAGGGAUAGAUAUAUAAUUAAAGAGAUUAUUCAUGAUUGACUGUAAUAAGAAUUUUAUUAAAAAGUUAAAU